rnacentral:rRNA from 1 species
AACGAACGCUGGCGGCAUGCCUAACACAUGCAAGUCGAACGAUCCCUUCGGGGAUAGUGGCGCACAGGUGCGUAACGCGUGGGAACCUGCCCUUAGGUUCGGGAUAACUCAGAGAAAUUUGAGCUAAUACCGGAUAAUGUCUUCGGACCAAAGAUUUAUCGCCUUUGGAUGGGCCCGCGUUGGAUUAGCUAGUUGGUGGGGUAAAGGCCUACCAAGGCGACGAUCCAUAGCUGGUCUGAGAGGAUGAUCAGCCACACUGGGACUGAGACACGGCCCAGACUCCUACGGGAGGCAGCAGUGGGGAAUAUUGGACAAUGGGCGAAAGCCUGAUCCAGCAAUGCCGCGUGAGUGAUGAAGGCCUUAGGGUUGUAAAGCUCUUUUACCCGGGAUGAUAAUGACAGUACCGGGAGAAUAAGCCCCGGCUAACUCCGUG